rnacentral:snRNA from 1 species
GUGCUUGCUUCGGCAGCACAUAUACUAGAAAUUGGAACGAUACAGAGAUUAGCAUGGCCCUGUGCAAGGAUGACACACAAAUUCGUGAAGCGUUCCACAUUAAA